GGGCCCGUAGCUCAGUUGGUUAGAGCACCACGUUUACACCGUGGGGGUCCCCAGUUCGAGUCUGGGCGGGCCCA
rnacentral:tRNA from 1 species